AAGAAUGAUGAAAUUGCCAUUUUUUUAUAUUCGAUUAGUCUUUAAGACAAACUUACAUGGUUAUAAUUUAAGCCCUGAAU